AGUGAACGCUGGCGGUAGGCCUAACACAUGCAAGUCGAACGGCAGCACAGUAAGAGCUUGCUCUUACGGGUGGCGAGUGGCGGACGGGUUAGGAAUACAUCUGAAUCUACUUUUUCGUGGGGGAUAACGUAGGGAAACUUACGCUAAUACCGCAUACGACCUACGGGUGAAAGCAGUGGAUCUUCGGACCUUGCGCGAUUGAAUGAGCCGAUGUCGGAUUAGCUAGUUGGCGGGGUAAAGGCCCACCAAGGCGACGAUCCGUAGCUGGUCUGAGAGGAUGAUCAGCCACACUGGAACUGAGACACGGUCCAGACUCCUACGGGAGGCAGCAGUGGGGAAUAUUGGACAAUGGGCGCAAGCCUGAUCCAGCCAUACCGCGUGGGUGAAGAAGGCCUUCGGGUUGUAAAGCCCUUUUGUUGGGAAAGAAAAGCAGCAGGCUAAUACCCCGCUGUUCUGACGGUACCCAAAGAAUAAGCACCGGCUAACUUCGUG
rnacentral:rRNA from 1 species